CAGUCAUUUACUACAGGAUGAACUCUGUUCAUUAAAAACCAUCAGGUUUUUGAAAAGUCCUGCUGCAGAGGAAGCGUGUGAGUAUCUCACUGGAGUUCUGGGUAAAAGUCCAUUACUACUGAAAGGACUGGAUCUGAGUGAAGAUAAAUUAGGAGAUCUGGAUGGGGAGAAACUCUCUGCUCUUUUGAUGGACUCUCAUAGCAAACUGGAGAAAAUAAUGCUGAAUAAUUGUGAUCUGACAGAGAAAAGCUGUUCAGUUCUAGCUAUUGUUCUCUCCUCCAAAACCAUCCUGAAAGAGAUGAACCUGAACAACAGUUGUCUGCUGGAUUCAGGAGUCAAAGAGAUCUGUGAGGGACUGAAGAAUCGUGUGUGUGAGCUGAAUAU